AUACACUGUAAAAAUUUGCUGUAACUCAUGCAGUAAAAUACUGUGAUUUACAACAGUAAUAUGUUGUAAUAACGAUUUUACGAUAAUUAACUGUAUAAGUACGUUGCUGUACAGUAUAUUGCUGUAAACAUCAGUGUCGUAGAGCAUGGGAACAAAUAUCUACAGUAAGCUAGUGUAAAGGAGCGUGCAAAAAGCAUUGUGGGAUACAGCGCACAUGCGCAUUAGGCGGAUCGGCUGCAUAUGCGCGUAUGCGUUGCACGUGAUUGGCUCCCGCGCUAGCCCGCCACGCCGCGCCGCCAUUUUUAAUUUUCUGCAAAGAUUUGAGCUGAGAUAUAUAGCUGAGCUGGCCGGCCUGAUCCUGAGCAACGAAUCUGAAUCUGUUCUGUUCCUGGUCCUGAUCCUCGAGCUGGGAUAUUGAUGACCAAUAAGUCAAUUCCAAGGGGAUCCGAGUAUGCCAUGGAUUAGUGCUGAAGUCACACAGUGUGCAUGCUGAAACACUAAUCAGACGGAUGCUCUACAUGGACAUCAUAUACCCAUGUACGUUUGUAAGCUAUGUAAUCAUUCUUCUGGAUCAUUGAAGCGGUUUUCUGAACACUUUUCAGUCCAUAGAAAUGUGGUGAAUUUCGAUUUCCCGUGUGGUGUUCCUGGCUGCAAUCGAACAUUCAGAAAUUAUUCAUCCUUCAAAACCCAUGUGCAUAGGGAUCAUCAACCA